rnacentral:sRNA from 1 species
AUUUCGGCCACUAGAAUGCCUGCAUCAACAUAUGUCGGCUGUCAUGCCACCUUUCCCCAUCAAUGAACAGUUACCAAGAGAUUUCUGUCUCCGGAAACGGAUAUCUGCAAUCUGCUAUUUCUCAUUUUUUACAAGCAGAACACCAGAGGAAAAGACGUCAUCGAAAGCUAUGGCCAUUUGCCGCCGAUAACAGCGUUAAAGAAUGAAUUUAUAAAUAUUAAAUUGAGCAAUUGGUUCCCCAAACAUCCCGGAUAGUGUGUUCCUAUCGUUGUUGUGCUAGAGCGAGAUUCCCCUGGCACUGGCCGUAACCUUUGGGUCUUCCUUUCGGCGCAAUAUAUGUAUAUCCUG